UAGCAUAUGAUCAGACAUACUCGGAUUCCCCUUCAGACAUUAUGGGUGAUGUAAAAUCGAGUUUCUGAUGUG